rnacentral:sRNA from 1 species
AUGGGUCUCUGGAAACCAGGAGGUGGAACACCUCAGAAGCAAUCACUUCUGUGGCCAUGAGCAAGGCCAGUUCUAUGACAUAAUGUCCACAGGUUCCUCACCAAGUUUUUCAUUGUGGAUACUGUUAAUUUGUGCCUAGUCUGUGUGUCCAGUGGCAUUGGGGCCAGAUUAGGAACGAUGCAGAUAAAGAGGUAGAGAAAUAGAGAAUAACAGAGCUCGAUUCUCAGGCCGAGAAGACCAUUUCUGAGACAACUUAAGUGGACACUAUGCCCUGGCUAGCGAUGCUCUCAGCUUGUGAGGGGUGCAAGCUCAAGAACAGGUUCAACUUGGACCAGUCGCAGGCUUGAGUGGUGGACCAGGUAGUACCAUGUAUGGCUGGGUCCCGGAGAGCCUUCCCAGAGAGAGCCCAAGUACGCUUGCAGCACCUUCUUCCAGCUCUGGUGGCUAGAUCUCUCUGAAUAGGCAGUCAGGCAAUGACUCCUCCCAGGCCUGAGAUUCAGCCAGUGCUAUCUAAAGGGAACAUGCAUGUACUCCAAGGCCUUUUGGGCUAGGGUUCUGACUUAAUGGCAGUCCCUGUCCUUGGGAUAGCACCCUGAUUCCUAGCUCAGUCUCCGGUGUAGCAUCUAGUAUGUGGGGAAGAGUGGAUGGGGGCUAGUGGCUGGUGGCUGUGGCUUAAGCCAGGCCCCUUAGCGUAGGAGACGGUCUGCCCUGAAGAGGGACGUUUCAUAAUCUUAAAUUCUGCCUCUGCAGUUUAAUUAGUGGUCCCCAAGUAGGCCCCAGAUAGGAGGCAAAGAAAUGCUGGAAAGGCACCCAUGAGUCUCCUGGGAUUCCGAUAGCAGCUCUGUCCUGGGCUAGAGAUAGUGAAGGAAAACCGGCAGGAAGGAGUCAUGCACGAGCAGCUGGGCCGGCUCUGAGCCCCAGCAUGCAGCAGGGCCAGGGUGAGCCCCUGCCAGACACGCCCACCAUGGCCUUUGCUGCCUCUCUGCCCCAUGAAUUACGGAAACUUGGCACUGAUGUUGGCCAGGAUCCUUGUUCCAGAGCUGGGCCUUGCCCCGUGCCAGGUGGAGCUGGUUGAGGCCUGGAGACCCAGCUCUGGCCGAGAGUGCUGAUCCAGCUGCGGGGCCUGCUGGCAAAGCUCUUUGUCCCAUCACUCCAGGAAAUGGAAAUGCGCCUGCAGCUUUUCAUUUUACAGCUGCUUUUACUUUAUAAGUCUCUGCUUAAAAUAGCUCUGAGUGGGGCCUCUGGUUUACCUUUCCUGAGGUUAAAAGCAGUCGGCUCUGUGUGGCUCUGCGCUGUCAGGAGCCUGAGGGAGGAGCGGGGAGGAGGAAAGGUUGGCCGGAAAGUGUUUCUUCUUUUUAUAUAACUCUGGGCUUCGAUGCUUACGUUCCGAAAAUUAAGUACAUACUGUAUCCAUUCUUGAAACUUACUUUAUGCAGACCAGAAGUGUCAUACACGAGUUCAAUGCGGCAAGAAGACACCCUGACAUCUCCUUAGCACCCACAAAAUGCCUUCGGGUCUGGGUCCAGAAACUGGAUGGAGGUCUUCCAUUCAAGCCUCUGUCUUAUUUUAAUCUCAAGGGAUGGCAUGAUUAUGGUACAUCACCUUACAGAUGGGGAAACUGAGGCUGGGAAUUCAGUGGUCCGAAGCCAUGCUACUAUCAAAGGAGAACAUCAAGGAACAGUGCCUGACGGGCUUGCCCAAGCCAGCCUGACCAGGAUAGUCCACUGUGGAGAUGAUGGAAGCCCUCGCUGCUUCAGAGGCUACUGACAACCUUUCAGAGCUCCCUGGAGCAGAGGGAUAUAAGAGUGUAGAUCUACAUGUCCCGAAGGGAUGCGUCUCCUAAACUGUUUCCUGGCCGCAUUCUGGGAACUCUGACUUCCUGUUCAGAGAAUUCAGUGGGCCAAACAGGACACAGGGGUGGGAGGAGCUCAAGAGUGCCACGGUGCCCCACAUCAAACUGCACCCUGACCUGGCAAGGAUCAAGGAGAGGUGGGCUGGUUCCCAUCAAUGAGCACUAACCCAUUACAAGGACUGGUGGGCACCAAGGAGCUUCAGCAGACGCCUGGAGCUUCCAGGCCCCAACACUGACCACACCGAGGGUCUUCUAAGUCAUGUCCGGAGCCAUGUCUCCUGAGCUCAGCUACAUGGCCAGCAGUGCAAGGUGCUAUGGACCCUACAGUGUCUGCUUGGUACAUCUGAGGUGAAAGAAGCGGCUGCUUGUGGGCAUCUGUGCCGUCUACUUCUGCUCUGAGAAGGAAACAGGAUGAUGGCGAGAAGGCAGAGAAGCACAUACGGUCAGGAACUGAGACAAGAAGUCUGAAGCCCCCCUUUCAGUGAGUAGUACCACUGCCCAAACCAGGUGAGAUUUAUAUUUUAUUUCCUUAUUUUAUUUGUUGUUAUUUUGUUUUCUGGGAUAGGGUUUCUUCGUGUAGCUCUAACUGUCCUGGAACUCACUCUAUAGAUCAGGUUGGCCUUGAACCCAGAGAUCU